UACAGAGGGUGCAAGCGUUAAUCGGAAUUACUGGGCGUAAAGCGCGCGUAGUCGGUUAUUUAAGUCGGAUGUGAAAUCCCCGGGCUCAACCUGGGAAUUGCAUUCGAUACUGGAUAGCUAGAGUUCGGCAGAGGGAAGCGGAAUUUCUGGUGUAGCGGUGAAAUGCGUAGAUAUCGGGAGGAACACCAAUGGCGAAGGCAGCUCGCUGGGACGGUACUGACGCUGAGACGCGAAAGCGUGGGGAGCAAACAGG
rnacentral:rRNA from 1 species